rnacentral:lncRNA from 1 species
ACUCUUGGAGUAUAUAUCCUGAGAAAUAGUUAUCAUCCUUUCCAACAGCGGAGUUCAAAUGUCAGCCUGGGCGUUUCCAGUGUGGUACAGGCCUUUGUGCUCUUCCUCCAUUCAUCUGUGAUGGAGAGAAUGACUGUGGUGACAACUCAGAUGAAGCUAACUGUGAGACAUAUAUCUGUCUGUCAGGCCAGUUCAAGUGCACCAGGAAACAGAAAUGCAUCCCUCUUAACCUGCGCUGCAACAGUCAGGACGACUGUGGAGACGGAGAGGACGAGACAGACUGCCCUGAAAGCACCUGCUCCCCUGACCAGUUCCAGUGCAAGGCCUCCAUGCACUGCAUCUCCAAACUAUGGGUUUGUGAUGAGGACCCUGACUGUGCAGACGGGUCAGACGAAGCUAAUUGUGGUGAGUUGUGGAAACCCACUAAACCAUAAAUGACUUCACUUCAUUUUUAGUUAAA